GAAGCAUGAAGAAGCUUGGUUAGUGUUUUGGAGUCAAAUAUGACUAGAUGGCAUGUGUAUGAUUGAAUAUAAAAACUAAAACCGCAAUCGGAUCUUGAAAGCCCAAGUAGUGUUUCCUUAUUAGAAGAUACAAAGCCAAAUACUCAUACAGACUUCGGCUACACCAUCGAGAAGCAAGAAGAAGCUUGAUUAGUGUUUUGGAGUCAAAUAUUAAUUGAUGUCCUGUGUAUGAUUGAGUAUAAGAACUAGAUUGGCAACCGGAUCUUGAAAGCCCAAAUAGUGUUUCCUUGUUAGAAGAUACAAAGCCAAUGACUCAUACGGACUUCAGCUACACUAUCAAAGCU
rnacentral:sRNA from 1 species